CCUACGGGUGGCAGCAGUGAGGAAUAUUGGUCAAUGGGCGGAAGCCUGAACCAGCCAAGUAGCGUGCAGGAUGACGGCCCUACGGUUUGUAAACUGCUUUUAUACGGGAAUAACGCGCCUUACGUGUAGGGCUUUGCAUGUACCGUAUGAAUAAGGACCGGCUAAUUCCGUGCCAUCAGCCGCGGUAAUACGGCGGGUCCGGGCGUUAUCCGGAUUUAUUGGGGUUAAAGGGAGCGUAGGCGGCAUGUCAAGCGUGCUGUGAAAUGUCCGGGCUCAACCCGGGCCUUGCAGCGGGAACUGGCGUGCUGGAGUCCGCGGAAAGCAGGCGGAA
rnacentral:rRNA from 1 species